rnacentral:rRNA from 1 species
GAUGAACGCUGGCGGCGUGCCUAAUACAUGCAAGUCGAGCGAACAGACGAGGAGCUUGCUCCUCUGACGUUAGCGGCGGACGGGUGAGUAACACGUGGAUAACCUACCUAUAAGACUGGGAUAACUUCGGGAAACCGGAGCUAAUACCGGAUAAUAUAUUGAACCGCAUGGUUCAAUAGUGAAAGACGGUUUUGCUGUCACUUAUAGAUGGAUCCGCGCCGCAUUAGCUAGUUGGUAAGGUAACGGCUUACCAAGGCAACGAUGCGUAGCCGACCUGAGAGGGUGAUCGGCCACACUGGAACUGAGACACGGUCCAGACUCCUACGGGAGGUAGCAGUAGGGAAUCUUCCGCAAUGGGCGAAAGCUUGACGGAGCAACGCCGCGUGAGUGAUGAAGGUCUUCGGAUCGUAAAACUCUGUUAUUAGGGAAGAGCAAAUGUGUAAGUAGCUAUGCACGUCUUGACGGUACCUAAUCAGAAAGCCACGGCUAACUACGUG